rnacentral:sRNA from 1 species
UCGCCGUUACUACCGGGCAGCGCGCCCAC